rnacentral:lncRNA from 1 species
CUUAUUCUUAGGAAAUUCUCAGAAAGUAACAUGAGGUAAAGGGAAGUAUAAAAGAAUAACCCCUUAAAAUGUUCAGAAAAAAAUAGAGACAUGCACAAAUAGAAAAAAUGAUUAAACAAAUGUGGUAAAAAUGUAAGUACAAAUCUGGCUUAAAAAAUCUAUAGGAAUUUCAUGUAUCAUUCUUAUAAGUUUCCUGUAAGUGCAAAAUUAUUACAAUUAAAAACUUUUCUUAAGUAUAUGAUUAAAAGACUUUACUAAUUCAGACUGUCCUUUGUCCAAUUAGUUUGAAUUAGUUAAUGGCUCUAAUUUGCUAAGCAGUACCAGGGGACCUAUGAAAAAUUUCUAUACUGAUGCCCAGAGUCCCUAUGGGCGAAUGAAUCAUAUGUCAGAAACAUCUGUGUGUGAUUCUACUGGGACUUCUGACUUGUAUAAAUUUGAGGGAGUAUGUUUGGGAAGAAAAGCAGAAGUUUCCUGCUACUUAAGUCUAGAAUGAAACAGAACUCAUACACUUUAUAUUUCAGAGCUAAUAAAAUGGAAAUGUCAAUGGGGAAAUCCAGGUCAACUAUAAUUCCCAUCAUGACUAAGCGGCAUAAAGACUCAGAAUACAGUGACCUAGAACUGACCUCAGGGAGAAAUCAGUCAAAUCAGAAUCACUCAUUUCCAGGAUUCUUGAGACCCUUUAAAUACGGAAGCAGCAGGCCCUGAUGUCUGGUUUCCCUCACCAGGACACAAGCCUACCCACAGUGCAGCCUUUGGAAUCAACAGGCUCCAAACAGAGCGGGGAUAUUUUGUUUUGCCUCAGUGCUGGCCCUCACACAUAACACUCGGUCAUCUCAGCAGCCCCAUGAAGCAAUCGGAGAGAUCUGAAGGAUGGGAACAGUACGUUCUUUGAAAUCCCUCUGACAGCAGCAGACGGUCCCGCCUUCCCUCAAGCCAUCCCGAAGGGGAAGUCUGUGGGCUUGGACAGCAGCGAGCCGAGCGGGAAUUCCCCCUUCCCCUGCUCUACUCUGCAGACGGGCUUCUGGAGGGUGAAAAAUGGGUCAUUCCCAUCCCCAGAUGCUUAACUUGAAGCCAAGUUGCCUGGGAAAUAAAAUUUUGGAGAACAAGUGGAGCUAACUUUAG